CCUCUUCUCCCUCACGCACUACCCUCUCCGGCGAUUUCUUCCCAGCGACGCCGAGCACGCCACCGCCCGCCGGUGUAACCUCGGCCGAGCCUCCCUCUCCCUCUCCCUCUUCCUCUCGGGGAGUGGAAUCUUUCCCCUAUCUCACGAUUGAUCCACCGCUGGCCCUCGAAUCUGAGCGGAGCAACGGCGAUUUCGUCAAGGAGGUCCAUCAGUUCUUCCUCUCCACCAGAUCUCGGUUCUUUGGCUUCGUCGGCAUGGAUCUGUCACGAUCCUCCUCUUGAUUUCCUCCGCCCGAGCCCUAGCGCCGUUGAUUCUGAUCAACCCACCGCCGGUCAAGAGGAAGAGGAUCUAAACCCUAGAUUCAAUCCCUCGUUACCUCACCUAUGUGUGCGGCUUUAAUCACUGGAGCCCCUGUUCCAGACGAGGAUCUGUUGAAUCUUGAUGUUAUCUACAUUGGCGUUGGCCACCUGUUGCAAGGAAUUGUGGCCGGGCAGUGAACCAUUGGAGAUGGGGUUGUUGACAUGGAAUCAAGAAUAGAGAAAGGCAUGGAUUGUGGACUUUUCCCGUUGCCAUUCACUGUCUCUUCACUUCUAGUAGCUGUGGAGGUCUCGGUUGAAGAGGUGGGGAUCAAUUUAGGACUUGGAUUCGGGACGAGCGUCUCGACACGGGAUUACUUGGCACGAUCUACA